UACGUAGGGUGCAAGCGUUGUCCGGAAUUAUUGGGCGUAAAGAGCUCGUAGGCGGUCUGUCGCGUCUGCUGUGAAAAUCCGGGGCUCAACCCCGGACUUGCAGUGGGUACGGGCAGACUAGAGUGUGGUAGGGGAGACUGGAAUUCCUGGUGUAGCGGUGAAAUGCGCAGAUAUCAGGAGGAACACCGAUGGCGAAGGCAGGUCUCUGGGCCGAUAUUGACGCUGAGGAGCGAAAGCGUGGGGAGCGAACAGG
rnacentral:rRNA from 1 species